rnacentral:rRNA from 1 species
UAAUACGGAGGAUGCAAGCGUUAUCCGGAUUUAUUGGGUUUAAAGGGUGCGCAGGUGGUUUAAUAAGUCAGUGGUGAAAGUCUGGCGCUUAACGUUAGGAUUGCCAUUGAUACUGUUAGACUUGAAUAUGGAUGAGGUAGGCGGAAUGUGUAGUGUAGCGGUGAAAUGCUUAGAUAUUACACAGAACACCGAUUGCGAAGGCAGCUUACUAAUCCAUCAUUGACGCUGAGGCACGAAAGCGUGGGGAUCAAACAGGAUUAGAUACCCUGGUAGUCCACGCUGUAAACGAUGAUCACUCGCUGUUUGCGAUAUACAGUAAGCGGCUAAGCGAAAGCGUUAAGUGAUCCACCUGGGGAGUACGAUCGCAAGGUUGAAACUCAAAGGAAUUGACGG